rnacentral:rRNA from 1 species
UUCCGUAGGGUAACCUGCGGAGGGAUCAUUACACAACGAAAAUAUGAAGGCUUUGGCUUCGCGGCCGGCUGAAAUAUUUUUUUCACCCAUGUCUUUUGCGCACUUGUUGUUUCCUGGGCGGGUUCGCCCGCCACCAGGACCAAACCAUAAACCUUUUUUUAAUGCAGUUGCAAUCAGCGUCAGUAAAAAACAAUGUAAUUAUUACAACUUUCAACAACGGAUCUCUUGGUUCUGGCAUCGAUGAAGAACGCAGCGAAAUGCGAUACGUAGUGUGAAUUGCAGAAUUCAGUGAAUCAUCGAAUCUUUGAACGCACAUUGCGCCCUUUGGUAUUCCAAAGGGCAUGCCUGUUCGAGCGUCAUUUGUACCUUCAAGCUUUGCUUGGUGUUGGGCGUUUUUUGUCUCCCUCUUGCUGGGAGACUCGCCUUAAAACGAUUGGCAGCCGGCCUACUGGUUUCGGAGCGCAGCACAUAUUUUGCACUCUGUGUCAGGAGAAAAGGACGGUAAUCCAUCAAGACUCUACAAAUUUUAACUUUUGACCUCGGAUCAGGUAGGGAUACCCGCUGAACUUAAGCAUAUCAAAACCCGGAGGAAAA